rnacentral:rRNA from 1 species
UACAGAGGGUGCAAGCGUUAAUCGGAAUUACUGGGCGUAAAGCGUGCGUAGACGGUUGCGUAAGUCAGAUGUGAAAGCCCCGGGCUCAACCUGGGAAUUGCAUUUGAGACUGCGUAGCUAGGGUGCGGAAGAGGGAAGCGGAAUUUCCGGUGUAGCGGUGAAAUGCGUAGAUAUCGGAAGGAACACCAGUGGCGAAAGCGGCUUCCUGGUCCAGCACCGACGCUCAGGCACGAAAGCGUGGGGAGCAAACAGG